CCUACGGGAGGCAGCAGUGGGGAAUAUUGCACAAUGGGGGAAACCCUGAUGCAGCGACGCCGCGUGAGUGAAGAAGUAUUUCGGUAUGUAAACCUCUUUUGUCAGGGAGCAAUUGGCGCUACGUGUAGCGUUAUCGAGAGUACCUGAAGAAAAAGCAUCGGCUAACUCCGUGCCAGCAGCCGCGGUAAUACGGAGGAUGCGAGCGUUAUCCGGAUUUAUUGGGUUUAAAGGGUGCGUAGGCGGAAUGCCAAGUCAGCGGUAAAAUCGCGGGGCUCAACCUCGCUCCGCCGUUGAAACUGGCGUUU
rnacentral:rRNA from 1 species